rnacentral:lncRNA from 1 species
UGUGGCAUCUCUUUAGGGCUGACUUGUAGUGUGUGGACCCCACCAAAUUUUAAAUUCUCGGUUUUAGAAGUGAGAAUACCGAGCACACACUAGCCACUUUCAUUUUACAUGGUUUUUUGGCUCACUUUCUCUAGGUUCUCAUGUAUGAAGACACCCUCAUGGAGCUUGCCAUGGGUUUUUCGUUUUUGGGAUAUAUGAAUGAACAAAGUUGCAGAUUUUAUUCCUCUCUUGCUUUAAUCUUAGUUGUCUUGGCUUGGUAGAAGUAUAUGACCACCCAUUUCUCUCUUCAUUUCCUUGUUGUUGAUGUUGGAGCUUGAGCUUGUAAGCUUGUCUUUGCCUUUUCAUGAUGGAUGUUGGUUUUGAGUGACUUUAUAUUUUGUUUUCCUCUCUUUUGCUGCUGUUCCUCACGUUUUUCUUUGCAUUUUAUUUGGUUGGAUGAUAAAAAUGGAGUUCAAUGUGAGUUUUGGGUUGAAUGGAGCUUAACUUGAUGUGUGGGUGUUGUGGUUUGGGCUCUUUCUUCUUGAUUUUUGGUUUUGAUGUUUGAAGCAAGGAUGGAACCAGAUUUUGGGGUUAUUAUUGUGGCUGGACAGAGCUUGAAUUGGUAGCUUAAUUAUCAUUUUAGUUUUUGCAAAGAAAUUUGAAGAGAAGAGAGUUAGAACUUGGGUUGAAGGAGUUAGAUUUUGUGUUUGAUAUGUUUGUAUGAUUUUACAUGUGCAAGCUUGGUUUCUAGAGCUCAUUCUCGGUAUUGAGAAGAGGAAGAAAGAUUAUGAAGGUGUGUGUUGGUGAAGAAAACGAAAAUGAGUGUAGUAAGGAGA